UACGUAGGGUGCAAGCGUUAAUCGGAAUUACUGGGCGUAAAGCGUGCGCAGGCGGUGAUGUAAGACAGAAUGUGAAAUCCCCGGGCUCAACCUGGGAACUGCAUUUGUCGUACUGCAUCGCUGGAGUACGGCGAGAGGGGGAUGGAAUUCCGGCGUGUAAGCAGUGAAAUGCGUAGAUAUGCGGAGGAACACCGAUGGCGAAGGGCAAUCCCCUGGGCCGCACCUGGACCGCUCAUGCACGAAAGCGUGGGGAG
rnacentral:rRNA from 1 species